rnacentral:rRNA from 1 species
GUCCCAGACUCCUACGGGAGGCAGCAGUGGGGAAUAUUGCACAAUGGGCGCAAGCCUGAUGCAGCCAUGCCGCGUGUGUGAAGAAGGCCUUCGGGUUGUAAAGCACUUUCAGCGGGGAGGAAGGCGUUAAGGUUAAUAACCUUGGCGAUUGACGUUACCCGCAGAAGAAGCACCGGCUAACUCCGUGCCAGCAGCCGCGGUAAUACGGAGGGUGCAAGCGUUAAUCGGAAUUACUGGGCGUAAAGCGCACGCAGGCGGUCUGUCAAGUCGGAUGUGAAAUCCCCGGGCUCAACCUGGGAACUGCAUUCGAAACUGGCAGGCUGGAGUCUUGUAGAGGGGGGUAGAAUUCCAGGUGUAGCGGUGAAAUGCGUAGAGAUCUGGAGGAAUACCGGUGGCGAAGGCGGCCCCCUGGACAAAGACUGACGCUCAGGUGCGAAAGCGUGGGGAGCAAACAGGAUUAGAUACCCUCGUAUAC